AUUAUUAUUAUUGCCAUUGUUAAUAAUAUUAUUAUUUUAUUUAUUUAUUUUAGGUUGCAGAGAAUGUAUCAAUUCAGAUUGUCAAAGGAAGUUCUUUCCCUGGCACUCCUUACACAAUGAGUCUGGUGUAAAAGAAAAUAUAGUAACAAUAUUAUAUAUGUAUUCCUACAAUAAAGACAUUUAUUACAACAAAGGAUUUGUAAAAGAGUGGAAGAGAGAGAAAUCAGUAAAACUGAUGAACGCAUCUAAAAAGUCUCAGGCUAUAUGCAAUGGUCCUGCAUCCAGAGACCUAGAGACCUCCACCUCUGGAAAAAGAGCAGGGCGAAGUACUAAGAACUUCCAUAUUUGUUAUGACUUUGCCAGCUGCCUUCAAAGUCCUAUCUGUUGAACCAAAUUGCUCCUUGGAGAUCUCAGAUCUGGUUUUCUCAAGAACUAAAGGAAUCUUCUCUUCGGUUUCUGGCUCCUGACUCUUUCUAGAUACAGCAAAUGCCUUGGCACUGUGAGGACAGUGAAAAUGGAUGCAGGGUCUGAGAUUGCUGGUUAUUGGACCCAUCUCCUCCUCUGCAUUCCUCUCUGAGCUCAGGGGAAGGGGGGCCCUGGAGAAGCAAAUGUUGGCUUAAAAAAUGUUGCUAUUCCAAAAAGUCGAUAAUGGGAAUGAAUAAAUACAGAAAAACCAAUAGACUUCCUAGUACA
rnacentral:lncRNA from 1 species